rnacentral:rRNA from 1 species
UGGGGAAUAUUGGACAAUGGGCGAAAGCCUGAUCCAGCCAUGCCGCGUGUGUGAAGAAGGCCUUAUGGUCGUAAAGCACUUUAAGCGAGGAGGAGGGUACUGGUAUUAAUACUACCAGGUACUGGACGUUACUCGCAGAAUAAGCACCGGCUAACUCUGUGCCAGCAGCCGCGGUAAUACAGAGGGUGCGAGCGUUAAUCGGAUUUACUGGGCGUAAAGCGUGCGUAGGCGGCUAAUUGAGUCGGAUGUGAAAUCCCCGAGCUUAACUUGGGAAUUGCAUUCGAUACUGGUUAGCUAGAGUGUGGGAGAGGAUGGUAGAAUUCCAGGUGUAGCGGUGAAAUGCGUAGAGAUCUGGAGGAAUACCGAUGGCGAAGGCAGCCAUCUGGCCUAACACUGACGCUGAGGUACGAAAGCAUGGGGAGCAAACAGG